UAGGGAAUCUUCCACAAUGGACGCAAGUCUGAUGGAGCAACGCCGCGUGAGUGAAGAAGGCUUUCGGGUCGUAAAACUCUGUUGUUGGAGAAGAAUGGUCGGCAGAGUAACUGUNGUCGGCGUGACGGUAUCCAACCAGAAAGCCACGGCUAACUACGUGCCAGCAGCCGCGGUAAUACGUAGGUGGCAAGCGUUAUCCGGAUUUAUUGGGCGUAAAGCGAGCGCAGGCGGUUUUUUAAGUCUGAUGUGAAAGCCCUCGGCUUAACCGAGGAAGCGCAUCGGAAACUGGGAAACUUGAGUGCAGAAGAGGACAGUGGAACUCCAUGUGUAGCGGUGAAAUGCGUAGAUAUAUGGAAGAACACCAGUGGCGAAGGCGGCUGUCUGGUCUGUAACUGACGCUGAGGCUCGAAAGCAUGGGUAGCGAACAGGAUUAGAUACCCUGGUAGUCCAUGCCGUAAACGAUGAAUGCUAGGUGUUGGAGGGUUUCCGCCCUUCAGUGCCGCAGCUAACGCAUUAAGCAUUCCGCCUGGGGAGUACGACCGCAAGGUUG
rnacentral:rRNA from 1 species